GACGUUUAGCAACAGAAGAAGCACCGGCUAACUCCGUGCCAGCAGCCGCGGUAAUACGGAGGGUGCGAGCGUUAAUCGGAAUUACUGGGCGUAAAGCGCAUGCAGGUGGUUUGUUAAGUCAGAUGUGAAAGCCCGGGGCUCAACCUCGGAACUGCAUUUUGAAACUGGCAGACUAGAGUACUGUAGAGGGGGUAGGAAUUUCAGGUGUAGCGGUGAAAUGCGUAGAGAUCUGAAGGAAUACCGGUGGCGAAGGCGGCCCCCUGGACAGAUACUGACACUCAGAUGCGAAAGCGUGGGGAGCAAACAGGAUUAGAUACCCUGGUAG
rnacentral:rRNA from 1 species